CACGUAGGGGGCAAGCGUUGUCCGGAAUCAUUGGGCGUAAAGAGCUCGUAGGCGGCUCAGUAAGUCGGGUGUGAAACCUCCGGGCUCAACCCGGGAACUGCGUCCGAUACUGGAAGGCUUGAAUCCGGGAGAGGGAUGUGGAAUUCCAGGUGUAGCGGUGAAAUGCGUAGAUAUCUGGAGGAACACCGGUGGCGAAGGCGACAUCCUGGACCGGUAUUGACGCUGAGGCGCGAAAGCCAGGGGAGCAAACGGG
rnacentral:rRNA from 1 species